ACUUUGCGCUCCGCCCUUGGCCAGUAGUGUGUAGUCUAUGGUGGAGCUGCUUUCAUUACACUGGGCGACUGGGACGAGCUGCCACAUAUUUCUCCGGAUUCUGUGUUUCAAAAAUAAUUGGAUGAGGGAAAAGUUCAUCUUUCUUCCUGUGAGAUGAAACGGACCAGCCUGUGGGUUUAACAGCGGGGUCACCACCAACGAGGAAAGCAGAACGUCUGCCGGAGAGUUCAGCGAUCCCAACACGACUACAAUGGGAGACAUGACGGCAGAUCCGAAGGAUCUGGUCAUGAAGCUGUUUGAGAACUUUGCGCAGGCGCCGGCCUGUAAGUGCACACUGCAGGCCUUCAACGUCAUGUGCGCUCAACUGGGGCUGGACCCCCUGGAGCACAUCACCUUCUACAGCAGUCUGAAGGACAAGAUGACCACGUGGAAAGCCAAAGCACUUUGGAGCAAGCUGGACAAGAGGUUCGCACACAAGGAGUACAAGAAGGGACAAGCGUGUGUGGGCACCAAGUGUCUGGUGAUCGGAGGGGGACCCUGUGGGCUACGGACGGCCAUCGAGCUCGCCCUGAUGGGCGCCAAAGUGGUGGUGAUCGAGAAGAGGGACUCGUUCUCCAGGAACAACGUGCUGCACCUGUGGCCCUUCACCAUCCAUGACCUCCGGGGCCUGGGGGCCAAGAAGUUCUACGGGAAGUUCUGCGCGGGAGCCAUCGACCACAUCAGUAUACAGCAGCUGCAGCUCAUGUUGCUUAAGAUUGCCCUGAUUGUCGGAGUGGAGUUUCACAUCAACGUGGAGUUUGUGAAGCUGUUGGAGCCUUCAGAGGACCAGGAGAAUGAAGCGUUGGGCUGGAGGGCUGGCAUCCUGCCUGCGGAUCAUCCCGUGGCUAAUUUUGAGUUUGAUGUGGUGGUCGGCGCAGAUGGACGAAGGAACACACUGGAAGGUUUUAGCAGGACCGAGUUCCGGGGUAAGCUGGCUAUUGCUAUCACGGCCAACUUCACCAACAGGAACACCACGGCUGAGGCUAAAGUGGAGGAGAUCAGUGGGUUGGCCUUCAUCUUUAACCAGAAGUUUUUCCUUGAUCUCAAGGAGGAGACGGGUAUUGACCUGGAGAACAUUGUGUACUACAAAGACAAGACGCAUUACUUUGUCAUGACAGCCAAGAAGCAGAGCCUAUUGGACAAGGGGGUUGUUAUUCACGACUACGUCGACACCCAGAGUCUGCUGUGCAGUAACAACGUCAACCAGGAAGCGCUGCUGUGCUAUGCCCGCGAGGCCGCUGACUUUGGCACCAACUACCAGCUGCCCACCCUGGACUACGCCACCAACCACUACGGGCAGCCGGACGUGGCCAUGUUCGACUUCACCAGCAUGCACGCGUCAGAGCACGCGGCGGUCGUGCGUGAGCGCCACGGGCGCCAUUUGUUGGUGGCACUGGUCGGGGACAGUCUGCUAGAGCCCUUCUGGCCCAUGGGUACGGGCUGUGCUCGGGGCUUCCUGGCCGCCCUGGACACGGCCUGGAUGGUGAGGGGCUGGGCUCAGGAGAGGCCCGUCCUGGAGCUGCUGGCCGAGAGGGAGAGCAUUUACAGACUGCUUCCCCAAACCACACCCGAGAACUUGGCCAAGAACUUUGAUCUGUACACCAUAGACCCUGGAAGCCGGUACCCCAACAAAAACUUCUCCAGUGUCAAGGCAAAGCAGGUACGUCACCUGUAUGUCACCAGAGAGCUCAAUGCCUGCCCUCUGCAGCGGUCUGCAACCAUACGACGGCCUGUCAACAUAGACAGGCGAGAGUCUGAGAUUAGACCGGGUCGACUGCUGACCUGGUGCCAGAAGCAGACAGAGGGCUACAGGAAUGUGUCGGUGACCGACUUGACGUCCUCUUGGCAUAGCGGCCUGGCCCUCUGCGCCUUGAUCCAUAGGUUCAACUCCCAGCUUGUAGAUUUCAGCUCCCUCACCGAGGAGGACGCCGCCGCCAACCUCCAGCUGGCGUUCGACGUCGGCCAGCGGGAGUUUGGCGUGGCGCCGUUCACGUCCGGACAGGAGCUGUCGGCCGCCCCGGACGUGGACAAGACGCAGAUGAUCCUGUACCUGUCAAAGAUCUACGAGCUGUUCCGCGGCACGCCUCUACCUCAGACAGGUUUAAGGGUUGCUGAUGAAAACAGUGUGGAGUAUCCGUCGAACGACCCGAGACACAUGACCAAUGGGAUUAAUGUCUCUCAACCACGGAAACGAGUGCCCAGGGAGGAGAGGAAAUCGGAGUGCACCCCGGAAUCAGUUUACAAGCGGCGGCGAAAAGGAGGCAGCAGUAGCCAUCUGGACGAGGCCACUCAUCUGCAGGCUUCCCGGGACUCCUCCGCGCUGCUGGAGGAGACGGCCCCGCGGGAGAACAACCGGGUUCGCUCCAUGGCCACCCAGCUGCAGGCCAUGUUCGAAGGCACCGCCGCUAGCACCGUCCGCAGACAUACCCUACAGUCCUUCACACACUACCCUGGCAUGACGGAGGAUCCCUGUAGCGAAUCAAGGGUGUCGGCCCCGCCCAAGCCCUCCCUCAAGUUUAAAAACUUUGAUAAAGGCUUGCCAGAGUACGCAGCCCUGCAGCCACCUAAAGUGCCGCCCAAACCCCGGAGCAGGGUCACGCAAACAUUGCCUCAUAGCGAGCACCCCUCCGACGCCACUCCCCUUCAGCAGCACCCUCUUUGGGAAGGCCGACGCGCCGAGCAGAGCGCUCAGACGCAGACGCGCGCUCAGACGCCGACCGCGCGCCGGUGUGCGGAGGCGGAGUACGCAGACCUCCCCUCCUCCCCCUCUCCCCCCUCCCGCCGCUCCGCUGUCCUAGUCAUGAGAAGAAUGCUCCUCCGCCUGAGGGAGGUGGAGGAGCACAUCUCUGAGAAGAAGGCUCAGACUCAACAUGCUAGGGAGUUUCAGAAAAAGAGUAUAAAGGACAAGGCACAUCAUCUUUGCGAUUUGUUGGAUGCCACUAAUGUACCCAAGGGGUCUGUCCAUCAGCCACCGCCACAGUCCACAGAUAAGUGUCACUCCUGUGGGAAGCGCGUCUACGUGGUGGAGAGGAUCAGUACCGAAGGCCUCUACUUCCACAGGGAGUGCUUUCGCUGCAAGACCUGCAAUUCGCCACUGAGCCAGGGCGCGCAUGUGUAUGACUCUGAACAGGGAAAACUUUAUUGCAAAGCACAUUUCGUGCAACAUAAAAAUGGGACCCAUCUCCGAAGAAAUAUAAACGGGCGCACAGGUUCUUGCGACCGCCGGGACUCUGUUGAGCCCACAUCCUGUAGUACCAGUCCGGAGAGGCCCCCCCACUGCCCCACUGAUGCUAAGACGAGCCCCUCACCAACAGGUACCCUCACCUCACUGCUCAGGAAGGGCCUGAGCUGGCCCAUGAGUUUGACCCGCGCUGCGUGCGGGGCCCCUAGGCAACUGAGCGGCUGGCUGCAGCGCCGCACGCGGGCCCUAGGCGUGCACGUCAGGGCCAAUGGCCGGGACUAUGCAUUCCUCUACGAGCUCCUGAGCGUGGGCUUGCCCCUGCUGCUGGUGCUGCAGGGAGUCCUGCAGCAGAUGUAUGUGGAGGCUGCCCCGGCCGUGGCCCUGUGUUUACAGCCUGCGCGCCGGUGGCUUGAGGAGAAUGCUGGCCUCAGGCUCACAUAGAUGCUGUGCUCGCCUGCUCCUCCCUCUCGCCUCCACACACUCCGACACCACGAUCACAAGUGCAAUCAGAGCUUCUUUAUGUCCGCCAUGGGAUGGCGACAACUUUGUGACGCACGGAAGCACCUUCUCACAGCAACACCGAUGUCUUGUUUUCAUGUUUAUGAAAUAAAUAUAUAUUUUGAAAACAAGACUUUGACCAAAGAAUAUACAUAAAGAUGGUUCCCGUGGCAGCCUCCUUUUUUUUUUUUUUUUUUUUUUUUUUUUUUGAGUUUAAGAUUGUUUUGUAUAUUUGGACUCUUAAGAUGUUUUGUAUAUCUUCAUAUUUAUCAAAGAAGUGUUUCAACGCUGGAAAGAUGUUUUUUGGUAUUUUCAUAAAACAGGGCUAUGCAGUAAAAAUGUGCACAGAUUGUUUCAAUAGGUGCUACAUGACCAGAGAAAAAAGGUAGGGUCGCUAAUGCUGAAUAAGGUUGACCUAGACAGGUUAAAACUCUCCUAUCUUUAAAAGUGUUAUGUGGGCUUAGGACACACUUGAGGGUAACUUACUGACUGGACUAGCGUAGUUGAGGGGCAUAACAUGGACAUUGGUACCUUUCUGUGGUGGAUAGGAUAAAGAAAUUUGCGUUUACUACUUUACAAAAUUACAGAAUGGAUGUUCUUCCUAAACCACGUAUGUUUACUGAGAUUUUUCUUAAAUCUAGACAUUUUAGUCGUAUUAUCGUUGGAACUUUUCUGCCAUCUGCUGUUCACUUCACGUAGGCAAAACGAAGUGUAGAAUUCAAUUUUAUUUUAUUUUAACUACAAAACAUUGUACUCAUGCACCUGAUAAAUCAUUUGUCAUAAAUGAUUAAUUCCAUUAUAUAUUUUUAUUUAAUGUGCAGAUGUGAUCUGAAUGUUGGAAUAUAACUAUAUAGAAGAUUGUUACCAUCCCCUUUAUAUAGAUGUAUUAACUGUGUUGUGCUUUUUAAAUGAUACAUAAUUAAUAAUAAAGUAAAUGUUUUGGGAAAUGAAAAGAUAUUACUUUUCUAUUAUUAUUUGUAUUUUAAUGUCUCAGUUAAUAUACACCGCAAUGGUGCACGCAAAGAACAAACAAGGUCCCAAGAUCAACUUUACAUUUCUUCUUUUGAUUGUGAUUUUCUUUUGUCAUCUUUCUCCCAAAAUGUCCCUGAAGCUUUAUGACGUUUGAGUUGCGGAACCUUCUGGAUCAUUAAGGGAAAUUACAUAAUGCAGCCGAAGAUGACGGAGGACUAUAAAGAAGACCCGGACAGCUGUGGCCUCCAUCACUUCCUGAGAUAACCUUUCUCAAUUCUUCUUCUGUGUGGUGAUCAUUUAGAAUUGAGAGCACUGAUCUGACAUGUAUGACUAUGUAAAAGGUCUUCAUAUCGAUGAGCAGCAUUCAAUGGAGGUUCAAAUCGAACAGUGGUCAAACUACAUGAAGGGUAAUUUUAGAUAUUAACUUUUUGCAUGAAUUUUAUUUUGGGGAAAGGUAUUUUUGGCUGAACAUGCACAAUGGGUGAACAAUGGCUUCAAGGCAUAGGCCCUACAUUAAGUAUGUCCCCGUUAACAUGAGAAUGCCUAAUGGGCUUAUAUCAGGUUUUCUGAAGUGAGAAAA